GAGUGGCGAACGGGUGAGUAACACGUGGGUAACCUGCCCAGAAGUAGGGGAUAACACCUGGAAACAGAUGCUAAUACCGUAUAACAGAGAAAACCGCAUGGUUUUCUUUUAAAAGAUGGCUCUGCUAUCACUUCUGGAUGGACCCGCGGCGUAUUAGCUAGUUGGUGAGGUAAAGGCUCACCAAGGCAGUGAUACGUAGCCGACCUGAGAGGGUAAUCGGCCACAUUGGGACUGAGACACGGCCCAGACUCCUACGGGAGGCAGCAGUAGGGAAUCUUCCACAAUGGACGCAAGUCUGAUGGAGCAACGCCGCGUGAGUGAAGAAGGGUUUCGGCUCGUAAAGCUCUGUUGUUAAAGAAGAACGUGGGUAAGAGUAACUGUUUACCCAGUGACGGUAUUUAACCAGAAAGCCACGGCUAACUACGUGCCAGCAGCCGCGGUAAUACGUAGGUGGCAGCGUUAUCCGGAUUUAUUGGGCGUAAAGCGAGCGCAGGCGGUCUUUUAAGUCUAAUGUGAAAGCCUUCGGCUCAACCGAAGAAGUGCAUUGGAAACUGGGAGACUUGAGUGCAGAAGAGGACAGUGGAACUCCAUGUGUAGCGGUGAAAUGCGUAGAUAUAUGGAAGAACACCAGUGGCGAAGGCGGCUGUCUGGUCUGCAACUGACGCUGAGGCUCGAAAGCAUGGGUAGCGAACAGGAUUAGAUACCCUGGUAGUCCAUGCCGUAAACGAUGAUUACUAAGUGUUGGAGGGUUUCCGCCCUUCAGUGCUGCAGCUAACGCAUUAAGUAAUCCGCCUGGGGAGUACGACCGCAAGGUUGAAACUCAAAAGAAUUGACGGGGGCCCGCACAAGCGGUGGAGCAUGUGGUUUAAUUCGAAGCUACGCGAAGAACCUUACCAGGUCUUGACAUCUCUGACAGUCUAAGAGAUUAGAGGUUCCCUUCGGGGACAGAAUGACAGGUGGUGCAUGGUUGUCGUCAGCUCGUGUCGUGAGAUGUUGGGUUAAGUCCCGCAACGAGCGCAACCCUUAUUACUAGUUGCCAGCAUUAAGUUGGGCACUCUAGUGAGACUGCCGGUGACAAACCGGAGGAAGGUGGGGACGACGUCAAAUCAUCAUGCCCCUUAUGACCUGGGCUACACACGUGCUACAAUGGAUGGUACAACGAGUCGCGAGACCGCGAGGUUAAGCUAAUCUCUUAAAACCAUUCUCAGUUCGGACUGUAGGCUGCAACUCGCCUACACGAAGUCGGAAUCGCUAGUAAUCGCGGAUCAGCAUGCCGCGGUGAAUACGUUCCCGGGCCUUGUACACACCGCCCGUCACACCAUGAGAGUUUGUAACACCCAAAG
rnacentral:rRNA from 1 species